rnacentral:piRNA from 1 species
UCAGAUCACAUGGAAGGCCAAUUCUCAGA